GUAAAUUUUACUUCAGGUAUUGAAAUUACAAAUCACGCAACUGCAACACUAGAAGGCAAUCAGAUUUUUAACAACCGGUUUGGAGGCUUAUUUUUAGCAUCUGGUGUUAAUGUGACAAUGAAAGAUAACAAAAUAAUGAACAAUCAAGAUGCCAUAGAAAAGGCUGUUAGUAGAGGCCAAUGUUUAUAUAAAAUAUCAAGUUAUACCAGCUAUCCCAUGCAUGAUUUCUACAGGUAACUUAGAAAUAUAUUUGAGUCCUGAAAAGAGGAAGACUGAUUUCCUUUUUAAAUUAGCAAUGCCUAGCAUUUUUGGCUAUUUGCCGGUGUUGAGACUAUAACUAACUGAAAAUUUUAUCAUCAAUCUACUUGAAGAUCGUGUUUAAGACUGUAACUGUGGGUAGGCGUGGUGGCUUAUGCCUGUAAUCCUAGCACUUUGGGAGGCUGAAGUGGGAGGAUCACUGGAGCCCAGGAGUUCUAAACCAGCCUGGGCAACAUAGGGAGACCCUGUCUCUACAAAACAAAACAAAGACCAUAACUAUGGAAAAACCUAAUGCUACAGUAACUGAUGUCAUUCAUGUAACUCAUGUUGUGUAAUGUUUUCCUAGAAAUUUCAAGGUAAAGAUGUCGGGGUUAAGUGUUUGAUAUAUCCCAGUCACUGUGACAGUUUUGACUCUUCACGCCUCCAAAAAUUGUUUUCAGCCCAGAAACAUUUGAGAGGCUUUUAAAGUGGAAAGAACUGCCUUUAUACAAUUUACAAAUCAUUUCUCUUCCCUCCGAAGACACAGAUGACAGGAAAAUCACUUACUCCAUUAAAGUUCCUUUUCAGAAUUAAUCUGGGCUGGAGCCACAAAGAAUUUUGUUUUGGUCCUCUUAAAGCCAAAGGUCAUAGUAAUAUAUAAACAGAAUGGAAUGUUUUGCAUUAAUGACAUGUUUGAGAAAAGUAAUUUAAGCUUUUGCUUUUUAGAUGUCAUACUUGUAACACCACAGAUCGAAAUGCCAUAUGUGUGAACUGCAUUAAGAAGUGCCAUCAGGGACAUGAUGUAGAGUUUAUUAGACAUGAUAGGUAUGUAGCACACUUGCUUGAUAUAUUACCCAAUUACUUUCCCCCUCACUUUUCUAAUAUUUGGGUUUCAUUUUGCUUUAGGUUUUUCUGUGACUGUGGUGCUGGAACACUGUCUAAUCCUUGUACAUUAGCUGGUGAGCCUACACAUGAUACAGAUACACUAUAUGACUCUGCUCCACCUAUAGAAUCUAAUACAUUGCAGCACAACUGAAUUCCUUCCCUAAAGAAAAAGUCCUGCCAUUGUAACAUCAUAACUUAAAACACUUUUUUGGAAGAAGAUUUAAAAUAUUUGCCCAUGCUACAGGAAGAGACUGUAUUAAAAAUGGAUACACAAGGUCAGUUGACACUAUGAAGCUCAAGCUACCAAAAAGAAAGUGGCAAUAUAUUGACUCAGGAUCUCAAAGCUGGGUGUUUUAGCAUUACUGUGUAAAGACUUGAAGGGAC
rnacentral:lncRNA from 10 species